AUUGGAUUUUUUUUGGUCUACCUCCAGGUGUAGAAGGCCUUGAAAUGAAGAGUGUCUACGAAGUGAGAAAUGGCAUCAUAAACUGGGUAUCUGAAGUGCUGAUGUUGCAAAAUUCUCUCUGGGCUCACUUGAAAUGCAAUGGGAGAAGACAAUGAGAAGACAAUGAGAUUAUCACCCCCUCCACCCAGCACCCCUCCCAACCCCAUCCAAUUACCC